rnacentral:rRNA from 1 species
AACGAACGCUGGCGGCAGGCUUAACACAUGCAAGUCGAGCGCCCCGCCAGGGGAGCGGCAGACGGGUGAGUAACGCGUGGGAACGUACCUUUUGGUUCGGAACAACUCCGGGAAACUGGAGCUAAUACCGGAUAAGCCCUAACGGGGAAAGAUUUAUCGCCGAAAGAUCGGCCCGCGUCUGAUUAGCUAGUUGGUGAGGUAACGGCUCACCAAGGCGACGAUCAGUAGCUGGUCUGAGAGGAUGAUCAGCCACACUGGGACUGAGACACGGCCCAGACUCCUACGGGAGGCAGCAGUGGGGAAUAUUGGACAAUGGGCGCAAGCCUGAUCCAGCCAUGCCGCGUGAGUGAUGAAGGCCUUAGGGUUGUAAAUCUCUUUUGUCCGGGAAGAUAAUGACUGUACCGGAAUAAUAAGCCCCGGCUAACUUCGUG